AAGGAGAGAAAAAAACUUGAGUGUUUAUAGAGUGAUAUCAGAUUCCAGGGAUCAGCACAUUACCCCAGCCAUCCCUCUCAUGUUCUGGCUAAAUAAUAAAACCUUUAAGUUUUGUCCAACCAUAGGUCCUUGAAAUAACCAGUUGAUUUUGCUCUGUUUAAGGAAUUUGGCUGUUUUCACAGGCAAUUGUGUGGGGAACUGAAAAAAAUGUGUGGAAGACUUAAUGCAGCCCUCCUUAGCCACUGAAAAACAGCAUGUGGAAUGCAUAUCUAAAGCUAUAGCUUUGCAAACAGCCCUGUGUUGUUAAUGGUGUCAGAACCUCACUGCUUACUUAAGCCUUACAGAUUAUUUGAAAGGGCUGCUCUGAAACUUUCGGCAGAGCAAGGAUGCCCAUCUAGAUUUUAAUUUAAAAAGGAACUGUUCAGGAUCAGCUCACCUAAUGGAGAUGCUGUGUUUCUGCAUGGCAUUGUCUAGUAGAAAUAGGAUGAGUAUCUCCCGUCCAUGUGGGCAGGUCAGCUAACUGCACCUGAACUUGCCUAAGUCAUCUCCCCACAGAAUUGUCUGUUCCGUGAUAGGAUUAGCCAUGAAAUGUUGGCCAUGAUUAUGUGGAACACAGAUCAUCAGCAUUGGGGCUAUUUCCAGCAAGACUGUACUAAAACACAGUAACUUGUAAUCCUUAUGUAUCUGAAGGGAAUUGUUAUAAAGAACAGUAACUGAGAAUGCACACCUAAGACAUAAAGGAAACUGUGCUUUUGAAUGGCAUCAACAUUCAUGAGUUUAUUUAAAUGUC
rnacentral:lncRNA from 1 species